UACGGGGGGGGCAAGCGUUGUUCGGAAUUACUGGGCGUAAAGGGCUCGUAGGUGGCUAACUAAGUCAGACGUGAAAUCCCUCGGCUUAACCGGGGAACUGCGUCUGAUACUGGAUAGCUUGAGUAUGGGAGAGGGAUGCGGAAUUCCAGGUGUAGCGGUGAAAUGCGUAGAUAUCUGGAGGAACACCGGUGGCGAAGGCGGCAUCCUGGACCAUUACUGACGCUGAGGAGCGAAAGCCAGGGGAGCAAAC
rnacentral:rRNA from 1 species